rnacentral:misc_RNA from 1 species
AUCGUAUUUCCUUUAUUAUACUUCUUUGGAUUCUGCGUAUUUACUCCUCUUUGCACGUAAUUUUCAUUCAACGUUUCAGCAAAGGUCUCCCUGGUAUGUCUGACUGGAAUCAAUUGAACACUUACUACCGUAUUAUAUACGACUACCUAAAACCAGAUCAAGUGAUAUCGUGUGCGGAAGGUGUAUUGCAGUCUAUUGUAGGGACAGCAAACUCAGACCAGGGCGACACUACCUUGGCAAGUAGUGACACAGCAAAUGCUCCAGGUCGGCUGUGUUUUGUGAACAGUCCUGUACAAGUGAGGGUUUUACUUGGAUUGCUUGCUUAUUUCUUCAUCACUAUUGUCCUUAUCCAUUUGGCCUGGCUUCUGUACGGAUUUGAUAUAAAUGAAUUAUUCGUACGAUCUGGAAUCCAACAGCCACAAGCUCAGCGACCUCGUCACAAGGCCAGUUAUAGUGAAAAGAUAUCUCGGUCUGCACAAGCUUCAAAUAUUCCAAUAAAUAAGUCAAAUUUCAUGGAUUAAAAGUUGAUAAUUAGGAAAAAAAAAAAGAGUAGUCUAAAUUAUUAAUUUAUCUUUUAAUUGAAAUAUUUCAACUUAAAAAACCAAAUCACGAUGCCAAAUAAUUUUUUUGAUAAAAUUAAACUAGAUCGCUUCUUUAGGAAAGCUGGCCCUGGUCAUAAAUUAGCACAAGAAAAAGAAAGUCAUGCCAGUUCAUCUUUGCAUUCCAAUUUAUCCGGUGGCCCUUCAUCAUUACCCACAGCCUCUAAAACAGAAUCAGAACAGAGAGCUGCAGCUGCUGCCAUUGCACGGUUCAAUCAAUCAAAAUCAGGGGAAUGCCGGCCUGUUAUGAAAACUAGAGUGCGUAGUGGAACUAAAACUAGCACCACAGACCACCAACAAUCUCCAGAUACUUCUGCCAAAGCAGGGGAGUCUGAAAAGAGUAACACCGAAAGUUGCCCCUUUCUCUUAUUUACAUGUCCUGAUAUUGGACCUGCAGUGCUUCCUAAACAAGAAAUUAAUGAAUAUAUCCGAGAGUUUCUAUAUAACUCCCUUGAAGCACAGCCUGAAAUGGCCUCGACCUUGAUGAUUCAGACUCUGAAUAAAAAUAAAGAAGCCGUAAAAGUUUGUGUUGACAUCUUAACAAAAUAUAUAGACAACCUUAUUAACAACCCCGGUGAGGAAAAAUUCAGGAAAUUCCGACUUAAUAACCGAGCGUUUCAGGAGAAGGUCAACCCUAUGGAAGGGAGUGAAGAAUUUCUACUUACUUGUGGUUUUGAGAGGAAAAGUCUAAAGCUUGAUGAUCAACCUGAAGAAAUGUAUUUUAUCAUUCCAGAAGAAAAAGCUCAAAACGUUGACUAUCUGAAACAUAUGAAAGACUGUCUUCUAUCAGCUGAACCAAUUCGACCUCAGCUUGAUCGAGCCUUGCGAGUAUAUACCCCUCAACAUAUGCCAAAUUUUGUAAUACCUGAUGACUUCUACAAUCUCACUCCAGCUGAACUCAAGAGAGAACAACAGUUACGUAGUGAAAACACAGAAAGGAUUGAAAUUCUUCGAACGAAAGCCAUGCGAGAACGUGACGAGAAACGAGAACUUCGUCGUUAUCGUUACACUAUGAUACGUAUUCGUUUUCCUGAUAGUGUUGUCUUGCAAGGAACCUUUUGGGCUCAAGAAAAAUUAAGUGAUCUGAGGAAAUUUGUACAAGACAAUUUAAGACUUGAUUGGAUACCAUUUAAUUUAGUGAAUCCAACAGGACAUAGACUUGAAGAAGACUUGACACUAAUUGAACUUGGCCUUGCACCAACUGCUGUGGUUAAUUUCAUUGUUGAUGAAGACAUAAUUAAUGAUCUGGCCCUUCAGCCAGGAACUGCUAAUAAAGCUGGAUCAUUUUUGAAGUCUGAUAUUCAAUGCUUACUUCAGGAAUUUCCCUAAAUUGCCUUAAUAUUAUUUUUGAACAUUAAUUUAAAACAAAAAUUGAAAAUUAAAAAACAAAAAAAAAAGCAGAAGCAAAAACAAAACAACAAACAUACUAAAACACAAAAUAUUUCAAGGCUCACUUAUCAAGGAUACUAUAUGUUGAAUAUUUUGAACUGAUUUAAAUGACUGAUAUAUCACUGGUUAAAUUUUUAUUAUCAGAACACUUUUCCUGCUUACUAACACUUGACAAGAUCGUUUUUUAGAGUAACUCUACAAGAAAAAAUAUUCUAUUUUCUAUUUUUCACCAAACCAUGUAAAUUCAUUAUUAAGUUCAUGUAGUGUGCAUUUCCCAAUUGAGUUAUUUGAAAUUGAAGAAAUUUAUCAUAGAAUAUUAAUCAGCGAUUAUUAUAAUUGCAGCCAUGUAAGGUAUUUGUGAAAACUAGCCGUAGAUAGGAAUUAUAUAACAUUAUUAUAGACUAAUGCUUUUAAUGCGCACCAACUUGAGAGCCCCACUGAUACAAGCUUUCCAUUUUGAAGUGUCCAAGUCUAAAUAAAAACUUUCCAUUGUAACUUCUUGUAAGGACCUUUGCGCUGGCUCAAAUUGUUUUAAGCCACUGUUAAUUAUUUUAUUAAAUUUAUCAUUAUUUUCUAAAUUAAUUGAAACAGCAGCAGUGUAUUUCAUUAGAAAUAUAACUACAAAUGGGUUAAACCCAAAUCACACUAACAUUCAUUGCUGCAGUUGUAAAAAGCAGUUUCGCUCAAAUAGUAGAUUUUGACAAUCUAAUGGCUUGUAUUAGUCAGUCUGUCAGUAAUAACUUGAUAUCAUUAUAAACUAUAUGCAAUAAAGAUAAUCAGGAAAUGGUGAGAAUGGAAGAGACUUCAGUUUAGUAACCGUUUUAAAUACCAUUUUAUGAAGAAUGAACUUUUAAUUUUAGAUUUGUAUUAUUUUAGGGAAGUGCAAUGGAUGUUUAUCUGUAAAGGAGAAGAAGAAUAAAAAAAAUAAAUUUUUGAAGCAUUUUAAAA